rnacentral:rRNA from 1 species
CCUACGGGAGGCAGCAGUGGGGAAUAUUGCACAAUGGGGGAAACCCUGAUGCAGCAACGCCGCGUGAGUGAAGAAGGUUUUCGGAUUGUAAACUCCUUUUGUUAGAGAAGAUAAUGACGGUAUCUAACGAAUAAGCACCGGCUAACUCCGCGCCAGCAGCCGCGGUAAUACGGAGGGUGCAAGCGUUACUCGGAUUGACUGGGCGUAAAGAGCGCGUAGGCGGGAUAGCAAGUCAGAUGUGAAAUCCUAUGGCUUAACCAUAGAACUGCAUUUGAAACUGUGAUUCUAGAGUAUGGGAGAGGUAGGUGGAAUUCUUGGUGUAGGGGUAAAAUGCGUAGAGAUCAAGAGGAAUACUCAUUGCGAAGGCGACUUGCUAGAACAUAACUGACGCUGAUGCGCGAAAGCGUGGGGAGCAAACAGGAUUAGAUACCCUAGUAGUC